UGGUCCCUGCGGUGUUCGUGUGUAGGGAUUGAGGGUUUUGAGCCAACACCAGAACCAGAGGGAGCUUGCUUUCCGUUACGGAAGCGUUCCGGCGCGGAAGUAACGGAAGGGGCACCCACUUUAUGGGGCUGGGUUCAAAACCUCACGCAUACGGCACCGCGGGGUUUUG
rfam:Bacterium 42_11 MPF_scaffold_1951, whole genome shotgun sequence.